rnacentral:rRNA from 1 species
UGCCAGACUCCUACGGGAGGCAGCAGUGGGGAAUAUUGCACAAUGGGGGGAACCUUGAUGCAGCAACGCCGCGUGGGUGAAGAAGUACUCCGGUAUGUAAAGCCCUGUCAGCAGGGAAGAAAAUGACGGUACCUGACCAAGAAGCCCCGGCUAACUACGUGCCAGCAGCCGCGGUAAUACGUAGGGGGCAAGCGUUAUCCGGAUUUACUGGGUGUAAAGGGAGCGUAGACGGCAAGGCAAGUCUGGAGUGAAAUGCCGGGGCUUAACCCCGGAACUGCUUUGGAAACUGUGCAGCUAGAGUGCAGGAGAGGUAAGUGGAAUUCCUAGUGUAGCGGUGAAAUGCGUAGAUAUUAGGAGGAACACCAGUGGCGAAGGCGGCUUACUGGACUGUAACUGACGUUGAGGCUCGAAAGCGUGGGGAGCAAACAGGAUUAGAUACCCCAGUAGA